AAGCAAGCCAGGAAGGAGGAGGCAGCCAGAGUGUUCUCUGCAGCAGAAGAGCCCUUGCUGCCCUGCUUAACCCAGACCAGCAUUUGCCAGCUAAUCUCCGCUGCGAUGGGCCUGGACUUCUUGAUGAGACCACUUACACCAGGAACUUGCAAACAGUCAGUCUUAAGUGAUGGGUGGAAAAGCAGUAUGGAGGCAUUCCAUGCACAUUGAGAUGUGCAGCUGCUUGGCCUAUUGGUUCCCACUUGGUCUUCAGGCUGAUAUACUGGGCAGCAUCACCAAUUCCACAGUGUCAUCCUUGAGAUGCAGGACAUGGACAGGUCUGCUCAUGAGAUGUGGUGAGGUCCUUCCUGUGGCUGUUUGCUGGUGUUUCCCUUGUGUUCCUUUAUAGACUGUUAGUCCCUCUUGGGCAAAAAACAAUCUUUUCAUUCCUUUUGCUAUGUAAACUGAUUUGUGAGCUUUUUUCUGUUGAAAAGUGGUAUGAGAAUAAUUUGAAUAAAAUAACAAUAAUAAUUUUUGGAGUCACUGUUUCUUCUGCACACUACCCAACCUUUCUUAAGAGGUUGCCAGGCAUGCUUAGGGUCAGAAAUAUUCAUCAAGUCAAGAUCUAUUACUUUUACUGCACUCCCCCAUCCAGUAAGCCAGUUCGAUUGUAGUGGUGUGCACAGAACUAGCGCCUGCUGGUUUGACGGUGGGGAAGACUCUCUUACCCACCCCCCAGCUGCCA